rnacentral:lncRNA from 1 species
UGAAAGCAUAUUUUGUUUCAGGACUCUGAAUUUAGAUGUGCCUAUACUUGCUGAUGAGGUGCCUUCUCUCCACAAGGGCUGUAACUUUGAUGCAAAGUUGGACUCAGACUUGAUGGACAUACAAGAGGACAUUGAGACACCUCAGGAGAUUAAGGAACAGAUAAGCCUAAACCCAACCUUGACCAAACCACUUCUUUCAAUCUUG